GAGUCGAUGCGAAAUUGAGCUCCAUGUUUGAAUUUUUAGGGAGAGGUUGUAUACUCUGAUGCCUGGGCAACGUCUAAUUCCAUUUUCGAUCUCUUCUUUGAAACCUUUAGGAUUGGACAUCAUACCCGGAGACUUAUGGACCAUGUAGUAGUUGUUGCAUUGGAUGACAAAGCAUCUCGAUGGUGCUUAAGUUUACAUCUUCAUUGCUAUGCUCUUUUGCCUGAAGAGAUUGAUUUUUCUAAAGAGGCGUACUUUAUGACACCCGAUUACCUGAAAAUGAUGUGGAGAAUGAUCGAUUUCCUGCGAAGUGUACUUGAAAUGGGAUACAAUUUUGAAUUCACUGCAUCUGAAGUUGGUGGGCUCAUCAUGAAUUAGGUCGGGGUGGCUACUGGUUUCGGUAUCCCGUAGAAAGUGCUUCUUUUAUGCCUGGGGUAUUAGCCACAACUCGGUUUUCCCAAAAUAAUACGAAGUAAAUACUGUUCUUAGAAAUUUGGCAGAAAGAUGAAGCUGAUGCAAUUAGAGGGUCUCCUCAGAAAUCUUGAUCAGUUUGCUUCACCAAAGUGUUGGAUAUUACUCCUUUGCUGCUGCAAAUUGAACUUGAACAAUACCCAACUGGCCCUCGUAUUGCUUCUCGGAUGUUAUACACUGUAUGUAAUAAUCCCAUUACUUUCUUUGUUAGUAUAACAUUAUUUUGUUGUUGAUAUGAUUUGAAAGUUGUAGUCUUUUCGAAGUAUGAUCGAUUUACUGGUCCGAUAAUUGAUAGGUAUUUUUGUUUCUUGAAUUGGGUAGGCAAAGAAUUCAUUUGGAGAUGUUAGUGAUAAGGUGGUGGCUGAUUUUGGUUGUGGGUGUGGCACAUUAGGAAUUGCUGCUGCUCUUUUGGGUGCAGAUCAUGUUAUAGGUUUCGAUGUGCACCAUCUAAUUUGCGCUCUAGCAUGUUUUUUUAUUUAUUUAUUUAUUAUAAAUUUUCUUGUUAGACCUUCCUUGCAAGCUGAAUAGAAGUAUAAAGUGUUCCCAGUUGUUAAUUUUGUCCUUACAUGCGCUUGAAUAGUAAGUAUCUAAUACAUUUAUGUCUUCUGCUUCCUUUACAUAGUGAUGCAGAUUACUGGUUACUGUCGGAUGGUGAUGUCAGCAUUACUGAUAUGUGGAGAACAGACUCUGGAGUUGAAUGGAAUGAAUUAGGGACCAUCCACGAAGACUAUGCUGUGGCCAAUGUUGGCACACCACAACCACAAAGCCCACAUCCAAGUGCUACAGAAGUUCUACCUAAUAACAUGAUGGGGAGGUGAUUAACAUAAAGUUCUGAGGGAUUUGCCAAUGUUGUCCAUCUUGAAUGCUUAUGCUGGAACUGAACUGAGCUUCGUAUAUGUUGGGAAGGGAGCAGCAUGACUUUGUGAUGGUAGUGUGUAGAUCAAUAGGGUAAUUGGUGCUAAAUUUUAUAUAGUAUGGGUAAGAAAACGAAGAAUGAAUCAGAUUUGGUAAAAUUAAUGGAAGUUCCUUGCAAAUAGAUUCAUUUUUUAUUGUGAAAUAAAUCACUGUUGAAUUGUUGAGUUAUGGGGUUUGAUUCCAAUUAUCAAAUGUUGAUUUCACAAUUUAGGAUU